rnacentral:rRNA from 1 species
UACGUAGGGGGCAAGCGUUGUCCGGAUUUACUGGGCGUAAAGGGCGCGUAGGCGGCCAGUGCAAGUCAGUUGUGAAAUCUCCGAGCUUAACUCGGAAAGGUCAACUGAUACUGCUCGGCUAGAGUGCGGAAGGGGCAACUGGAAUUCUUGGUGUAGCGGUGAAAUGCGUAGAUAUCAAGAAGAACACCUGCGGCGAAGGCGGGUUGCUGGGCCGACACUGACGCUGAGGCGCGAAGGCCAGGGGAGCAAACGGG